UUCAAGGCUGUUCUCACCCGGUUAUCAACCGCUCGUCUCGUCUUUUUCUUGACUCUUUGUCCGAUUACGGAGCAUUGCAUAGUUCAUGGUGGAAUUCCGACAUGUUCUUUUGACGGAGGAAGAUUGUGCUGUCUUUGCGUGAAGAGAUUCCGAUUGGUAUGGACUAGAUGGAACAGGCUACUCUGCGAGUGAAUCUUCGACUAUCUUUACGAACACAACAAAAAACACGUCUACCCGUUCGUCUUGCGCUAACUUGAGCAUGACGACUACACCAUGGUUGACCCUAAUUUCAAAGGUUCUUCGAGCUUUCUCCAUUCAGGUGCGAGGUGGUCGUGAUUAAUCAACCCUGAGGAUUCUCAUGCUGCCUGGAAUGACAAAAAAACUGACUCCACUGUAGAUUGUGGACUUCUUUGAUGCAAUUGCUAGAACCAGUGGGGAACUGUCAGAGCCUGCCACCGUUUUCCGUCUUUAUGACAUGUUUGACAACCAUGAUGAGUUCCGUAGGUGCUGUUGCUCGCAAAUACAAGGUAUGUAUUCCCAACUACAGCGAGAAAUAAGAAAUGGGAUUAUAUGUAUGCUAAUUUUUUCACAAAUGAGUGGCACACCAUGAAAAGCAGGUAUCAUUCAGAAGACACAACCAGGGCCAUUCUUUGUUGGCCCCGUUUCAAAGGUACACAUCCCUCGGUUUAAACUUGUGUAAUACAUUCUAGUGCAAGUGACCUGAGCCCCGUCUUGCAUUGUGUCCAAGCAUACUCGACCUCUUAUUCUAUGCUUUGUGCAUCCGUUUGUUGCCUUUGCUUCUGGAGAACUUUUGGUGUGUGGUUUUGAUGAAUUUAAACAGGAAUGCAGGUUGUGCAGUUGUUAAUCAGACUUGUUUGUGCUCACUUUUUGUGAAGGCAAGGAUUUGUUUCUAAGUUUACACUCAAUUUAGCAGUUUGUCUAGACUAGUCACUAAUCAUUCAAAAUGUGGAGGUUGAGAAAGUGGCAUUGGAAUUGGCUGGGUAAGACAACGUGGAAGUUGAAGUUUUCAACGUGGUGUUCUGCCAAACUUACACAUGGGAAAAGUUCCAGAGGGACAUGGUUUAUACAGAAACAUUUUACUCAUGAUAAAAAUUAGAUUAUGAAAGUUUGGAAUCUUUCGUUUCUGCAAUCACUGUAAUCUACUUCUCACAAUGAAUUCUGGUAAACUACCUAGAAGCGGAGGCCGAUUGCCUUCAUUCUUGGCAUUGUUCCCUUCUUUGGGUAGAUUCUCAAUCACCCAAUUCAGGUAUUUCACAUGGCAGUACAACGGUCUUGAAUAUAUCGAAAAUUUGUAGA